rnacentral:rRNA from 1 species
GACGAACGCUGGCGGCGUGCUUAACACAUGCAAGUCGAGCGGUAAGGCCCUUUCGGGGUACGACGAGCGGCGAACGGGUGAGUAACAACGUGGGUGACCUGCCCUUAGCUCUGGGAUAAGCCUGGGAAACUGGGUCUAAUACCGGAUAUGACUCCAUGACGCAUGUUGUGGGGUGGAAAGCCUUGUGCGGCUAGGGAUGGGCCCGCGGCCUAUCAGCUUGUUGGUGGGGUGAUGGCCUACCAAGGCGACGACGGGUAGCCGGCCUGAGAGGGCGACCGGCCACACUGGGACUGAGACACGGCCCAGACUCCUACGGGAGGCAGCAGUGGGGAAUCUUGCGCAAUGGGCGAAAGCCUGACGCAGCGACGCCGCGUGAGGGAUGACGGCCUU